rnacentral:rRNA from 1 species
UACAUAGGUAUCUGCCUAGUAGUGGGGGACAACCUGGUGAAAACCAGGCUAAUACCGCAUAAGAUCUACGGAUGAAAGGAGGCCCCUUCUUGAAAGCUUUCGCUAUUAGAUGAGCCUAUGUCAGAUUAGCUAGUUGGUAGGGUAAUGGCCUACCAAGGCGACGAUCUGUAGCUGGUCUGAGAGGAUGAUCAGCCACACUGGGACUGAGACACGGCCCAG